CUGGUUGAUCCUGCCAGUAGUCAUAUGCUUGUCUCAAAGACUAAGCCAUGCAUGUCUAAGUAUAAAUGUUAUACAGUGAAACUGCGAAUGGCUCAUUAAAACAGUUAUAGUUUAUUUGAUAAUCGAAUUUUACAUGGAUAACCGUGGUAAUUCUAGAGCUAAUACAUGCUGGUUAGCCUGACUUCUAGGAAGGGCUGUAUUUAUUAGAUAACAAACCAAUAUUCCUCGUGUCUAUUGUGAUGACUCAUAAUAACUGAUCGAAUCGCAUGGGCCUUGCCCGCGAUACAUCAUUCAAGUUUCUGCCCCAUCAGCUUUCGAUGGUAGUGUAUUGGACUACCAUGGCUUUAACGGGUAACGGAGGAUUAGGGUUCGAUUCCGGAGAGGGAGCCUAAGAAACGGCUACCACAUCUAAGGAAGGCAGCAGGCGCGUAAAUUACCCAAUCCUGACUCAGGGAGGUAGUGACAAGAAAUAACGGACCGAGGCUUCACGCUUCGGGAUUGCAAUGAGUAGAAUUUAAACCCCUUUACGAGGAACAAUUGGAGGGCAAGUCUGGU
rnacentral:rRNA from 1 species